rnacentral:rRNA from 1 species
UACGGGGGGUGCGAGCGUUGUCCGGAAUCACUGGGCGUAAAGGGCGCGUAGGCGGCUCAUGAAGGCUGUGGUCAAAGUCCGGGGCUCAACCUCGGAUCGGCCGUGGCGACUCGUGGGCUGGAGCACUGUAGAGGCGGGUGGAAUUCCGGGUGUAGCGGUGGAAUGCGUAGAGAUCCGGAAGAACACCAGUGGCGAAGGCGGCCCGCUGGGCAGUGGCUGACGCUGAGGCGCGACAGCGUGGGGAGCAAACAGG